UACGAAGGGUGCAAACGUUGCUCGGAAUUAUUGGGCGUAAAGCGCACGUAGGCGGCUUUUCAAGUCGGAUGUGAAAUCCCUCGGCUUAACCAAGGAAGUGCAUCCGAAACUGGAAGGCUUGAGUACUUAAGAGGAUCGCGGAAUUCCCGGUGUAGAGGUGAAAUUCGUAGAUAUCGGGAGGAACACCAGUGGCGAAGGCGGCGAUCUGGGAAGAUACUGACGCUGAGGUGCGAAAGCGUGGGGAUCAAACAGG
rnacentral:rRNA from 1 species